AUUUCUAUCAUUUACAGCUCUCCCACCCCAUGGAGUGCAAUUGACCACUAGAGGGAGCAUGAGAGCAAUUUGCUGCCCGGUAGAGUGUGGUAAAAGUAUUUCAAAUUAGGAUAUGGUUUUUAAGUUACAUACAAAUGUAUUCACCAAUUGUUCAAAAUUUAGAUGCUUAAUUAUGGGGAGUUAGCUUUAGGCAGGGAGCCUCUGUAAGGGCAUUCCUCACCACCUACUCCAUAGUACUCAGUGUUAUAAAGUUUCUGGCUUAUUUUAUUUGGGGAUGCUCCCUCCCUUGGGAUUACUAUCUCCUUUAAAUUAUGAGUAUAUUAAUUUCAAUAAUAUUUUAAAUAAUUUCCAAAAAUACAUAUGCUCAUGUUCCCUAAAGUUUUCUCUUCCCCUCCAUCAUCGUUAUCAUCAUCAAUUAAAAGAUGAACAAUUAAAAAUUAAUGGAGAGUGAAUAUCUCCUAGAACUGGAAGGGUCAGCAAGUCCAGUCCCCUGCCUUCACAGCAGGACCAAAUACCAUCCUCAACACAUUUUUAUCCCAAAUGGCCUCCAAGGAUUGAACUCACAACCCAGGGUUUAACAGGCCAAUGCUCAAAUCACUGAGCUAUCCCUCCUCUAUGGAUUAGGGACAAAUCCUUCCCUUUACUCUGCCUUUGUUGCUUGGAGGAGGGAGGCAAGCCAUGUGAAACUAAACUAGUGCAGAUUUGUGAUGUGGACAGGGCAGGAUUUGGGAUAUGUAGCAGAAAUAUCAGUGUGGAUCAGAAGAGGAAAAAAUGUGAGGUUGGUGUAUUCACUACUGUGUGGAUUCAUCACCUUUCACAACUCUUCAUCUUAUGCAGUGGAAGGGGCAUGUUACAGAAGAUAUUCUGUGUGAACUACUGUCAUGGUUGUUGAGUAGCUCUGGUCUGAGGGAGAGAUCUAAGACUUUCUACCCCACUUUAUCAAGUUUGGUUUAUGAAUAUAAAUAUGCAUAACUUAAAGAAUCUUUAUAAAAUACCUCAUGUAACCUAUCAAUUUUAAUGUUACAGUCUGUUGGAUGUGUAUAUCCUGUUUUGGUGCAUGUAUCAUUCAUGUAUGUAAAGUUAGUAAUAAGAAGUAUGACACUAUUUAUAGUACUAAGUGUGCUAAUGAGAACCAUUACAGUUUCCCCUCCAAACUCUCCCCCAUCCCCCUCAAGCUUUAACGACUUGGUGAUCAACUUACCGACUUGUAAACAGACUUGUUUUUCUUGUAAAUCAAAAGGUGACUAGUCUAAUAAGACAUAUGAGCAUAUUACCUGGUACUGGGGUUCCUUUUUGACCUGGUACUUUUCCCUGGAAAGGGGGAUGUAGAUUAGAACAAAAGGUUCCCGCCCUGGAAGAAAGACUAUUUAAGCAGUGGGAAGCUAUCAUCCCUUUGUCUUUGGCUGACCUUAUGCAAUCCAAAGAGGGCUGGGGCCCCAAGCCAGGCUAAAAGAGUCUCUGAUCAGAAGACUAUGCGUAGGACAGGAACAGCUCAUUAGGGGUGUGACGUGGCGGCACUGCCCCGCACUAAAGCUAAAGGAGUCCACCUGGGCCCGGGGGCAGGGCAAGUCCUGCCCCCACAACCCUGCGUGGCAUGUUCAAGAGUGAGGCCCGAGAUAAAAGCCAGGGGACGCCGUCAGUCAGAGGAGGUAGCCAAAGGGGCAGGAGCACCAGGAAGAGAUCCGGAGCUGUCCCAGCCAUCCUCGGAGCCAGGCCUGCCAUCCCCGACACCUCCGGAGUGAGGCCUGCUGAUUCAGCCACCUAGGAGCUGCAACCUUAACCACAGGCCUCGGGACAUAGGCUCAGCCAGGGAAGAGAGAGAAAAAAGAGAGAAAUCCUGUGCCUUUUGUGUGUGAGGAACCCAUCUCCAUCCAAAGAAUCCAUCACAAAAGAUUAUGCAUAAUCAAGUCAUACCUACCAUUGUGUGGCAUGAGAUUUCAGUGAGCAAGCUCCCCUGUUUCAACAGCCAACGGGGCUAAAGAACCCAACUGAAAACUCUCCACAUGCAACACUGUGAUAACUGGGCUUGUCUGCAUUAGUUUUGCCACUUUAAUUAUAGCAGUAUAGUGGACACAAUUCAAAUAAAAUGCUUAAAUUGUUUGUGAUUUAUUCUUGUAUGAUAACUGAAAUAAGGUAUCUCAAUAUAACUGCAUCUACUCCAGUGCUUUUACCAGUAAACUAUGUUGGCAAAAAUAUAUCAGUAAAAC